GGGCCCGUAGCUCAGUCGGCAGAGCAGCGGCCUUUUAAGCCGUUGGUCGCAGGUUCGAUUCCUGCCGGGCUCA
rnacentral:tRNA from 2 species